rnacentral:tRNA from 6 species
GGGUCGUUAGCUCAGUUGGUAGAGCAGCGGACUUUUAAUCCGUUGGUCACUGGUUCGAAUCCAGUACGGCCUACCA